AUUUCAGCUAAAAAUGUCUUAUUUCCAUGAGUCACCUGGAUAAUUGCAUUACUCUGCUGGCCCACUUAGCUGGGUGGGCCAGCAGGUGUUAAGUGCAAGUGUCAACAAGUACUUCAUUGUUUUCCACUCUAUGGAUAGUGCUGUGACAGCUUCUUAGUGCCUGGAGAAGUACCUCUUAGAUUCACUUUCAGCCCUUGAGCCUCCUUCUUUUAGAUGGAUCAUCCUUGCUGUAUGACAAAACAAGCCCCCUUCUAUCUCGGCAGAGUCUCACUCUGUCACCCAGGCUGGAGUGCAGUGGUACAAUCAUAGCUUACAGCAGCUUUGAAUUCCUGGGCUCCAGUGAUCUACCCUCCUCAACCUCCUGAGCAACUGGAACUUGAGGUUCGUGCUGCCACACCCAGCUAAUUAAAAAAAAAAAGUUUUUU
rnacentral:lncRNA from 1 species